UAAUAAUCUUUUCCUUCUGUUUAUGUACUCCACAGGUGAUUUGGAACAUCGCGGAGACCAAGGGAACGGUUCUCGGGGAAGACAUUCACUGUACCCUGGCUUGAUCACCGCUGCCGUAUCUGUUGUGUUCUCGUGGGCAAUGUCUGUGUCGUUUCUGCCAGUGGAAGAUGCUGUCAUGUCAACCUGACACGUGUGAACACUGAGUGUAUGGGACAGAGUCGACGAAGAGUGUAGGAGUAGUUCGGGUUGAUUUGUUUUAGGGGGGGGGGGGUUGUUGUUUUUUGUUGGUUUUUGUGUUUUUGUGUUGUUGUUGUUUUGUUUUGUUUUUUGUUUUUUUUGGGGGGUGGGGGAGUUUGUUGUUGUUUGGUUGGGUUUCUUUAUUGGAGGAGGUGGAGGGGAGUUGUUGGGGUUUUUUUCUUUUGUUUUGUUAUUGUUCUUGUUGUUGCUGCUGUUGUUUGGGGGUGGGGGGUGUAAUUGUAUGAUAGUUGGUGUUUUACUUUUUGAUGCUUUUGGAAAACCCUUCACCCAUAAAACCCAACUUUUGGAAAUGUAAUCAUCCCUUACAUCCUAAUAUAAAACAGAUACGUAAUAGAGAAAAACA